AGUCGGCGAAGAAUUUUAUGUUAUAUGUGGUAAUCUCGGUAAUUUUUCUAAAAUCGCCCCCUCCCGAGGCCCAAGUAUUAUAUGUGCCCAUAAUAAAGUCUUGAAUAUUAGAAGGAAAGCCCCUAUACCUAACG
rnacentral:ncRNA from 1 species